UACGUAGGGUGCGAGCGUUGUCCGGAAUUAUUGGGCGUAAAGAGCUCGUAGGCGGUCUGUCGCGUCGGAUGUGAAAAUCCAGGGCUCAACCCUGGACCUGCAUUCGAUACGGGCAGACUAGAGUUCGGCAGGGGAGACUGGAAUUCCUGGUGUAGCGGUGAAAUGCGCAGAUAUCAGGAGGAACACCGGUGGCGAAGGCGGCUUUCUGGGCCUUACCUGACGCUGAGACGCGAAAGCGUGGGGAGCGAACCGG
rnacentral:rRNA from 1 species